rnacentral:rRNA from 2 species
CUGAAAGAUGAUCAGGUUGAUAGGUCUGAGGUGGAAGUGUGGCGACACAUGGAGCUGACAGAUACUAAUCGAUCGAGGACUUAACCAAUUU